GUUCUACUGGUGUUACUGGUUCUGCUGGUGAGACGAUGUGUUCACAGGAAACCUGAAGAGAGUGCUGAAGUCCACUCAGCAAUGACAACAGACGAGGUCACUUAUGGACAAAUCAUCAUCAAAAAGAAACAAGAAAAUAAAGAUUUGAGAGAGAGUGAUCCAGCUGCAGCGGUGAGAACAGAAGCCAUCAGUAAUGGAGAAACAGCCGUCAUACCAAAGAGAAUCAGAGGUACAGCUGUUCUUUAACUUUGUACACAGCAA